GACGAGCCUCACAAACGUUAUUCGGAAUUACUGGGCGUAAAGGGCGCGUAGGCGGCCACCGCAAGUCGACUGUGAAAUCUCCGGGCUUAACCCGGAAAGGUCAGCCGAUACUGCGGGGCUAGAGUGCAGAAGGGGCAACUGGAAUUCUCGGUGUAGCGGUGAAAUGCGUAGAUAUCGAGAGGAACACCUGCGGCGAAGGCGGGUUGCUGGGCUGACACUGACGCUGAGGCGCGAAAGCUAGGGGAGCGAACGGG
rnacentral:rRNA from 1 species